rnacentral:rRNA from 1 species
UACAGAGGGGCAAGCGUUAUUCGGAAUUAUUGGGCGUAAAGGGCGCGUAGGCGGCUUGGCAAGUGGAAGGUGAAAUCCCUCGGCUUAACCGAGGAACUGCCCUCCAGACUGCUUUGCUUGAGGCCGGGAGAGGUGAGUGGAAUUCCCAGUGUAGCGGUGAAAUGCGUAGAUAUUGGGAGGAACACCAGUGGCGAAGGCGGCUCACUGGACCGGUUCUGACGCUGAGGCGCGAAAGCGUGGGAGCAAACGGG